CGCCUAAAGAACUACUGGAAGUCUGGAACCCUGGAAGUCACUUACCCGAGCCACUUCUCUCUUCCCUCAUCCAUCUUCCCUCUAGUCGCCGCAUGCCGCUGGUCGCCGGUGCCUUCUUCCAUCUAGUCGCUGCAUGCCAUUGGUAGCCUCUUCCUUCUGGUAGCCGCUGGUCAUCGGUGCCCUCUUCCUUCUAGGCGCUGCUGGUAGCCGCUUCCCUCUAGGCGCCGCCGCCCUCUUUCAGACUCUGGUUUCCUUUGUAAGGGACUCUCUCUGGUUCUAAUAAAAUCAAAGAGGCUCAAAGAAGCCAUUGCUCAAAGAGGUUGGUUCCUACCCUCGCCUACCCUUGCUGCUUUUGCUGGUUCUGUUAAUAUCAAAGAAGCUGCUGCCUUCAAGCUUCUCUCUCUUGUCUCUCAGACUCUCUCUGAUUCUGAUAAGCACUAGGGUUCAAUUGUUAAUCCUGAAGAUCAAGAGAUGUGCAUUUGCUGAGUGAAGACAAGUAUUCUGUGAGAUUCAUCAUCUAGUUGGUCCCAGGGGAUAUGGGCUAAUAUGAGCUAUCUGGAAGUGUGCUGCUGACCUAACAAUAAGGAAGCCUAACUAAUUGGUCUCAUUUCAUGGAUUUUCCCUCCUGCAGUGGCUCUUGGAGAAGGCGGAGGUCUUGUUCAAGAUAAUUACAAGUGGAGCUGAAGUAUGAACUAUCUGCAAUUGUGGUGCAUGUUGGGUUUUCCCCUUGGUCUGGACAUUAUUUUUGCUAUAUUCGUUCCUCCCCACACACGGCAUAGGUUGGAUGACUCAAAGGUAA